rnacentral:piRNA from 1 species
UAACAGUUAUGACUAACGGCCAGUAUUGAC